UACGUAGGGUGCGAGCGUUGUCCGGAAUUAUUGGGCGUAAAGCGUGUGUAGGCGGUUUACUAAGUCUGAGAUUAAAGGCUAUGGCUUAACCAUAGUUUGUUUUGGAAACUGGUAGACUAGAGUGCAGUAGAGGCAAAUGGAAUUCAUAGUGUAGCGGUGGAAUGCGUAGAUAUUAUGAGGAACAUCAGUGGCGAAGGCGAUUUGCUGGGCUGUUACUGACGCUGAGACACGAAAGCGUGGGGAGCAAAUAGG
rnacentral:rRNA from 1 species